AUGUUUAAAAAUACGUUUCAUCCAUUAUAUAGCUGUUAUGCUAUUACUAGGGUACACACUAUUUUCUAAAUUAUUCGAUUCUCUACCACCUAGUCAACUUAUUUUGGUCGUCGUGGAAAUUCUAAACGACCGUGUGGUAAAUUAUAUGAUCGCUAUUUUAAUAAUCGAAAAGGAAAAAAAUUUACCUACGUGUUCAAACACACCAAGAGGCAACGACACGAGUACAAAAACAGACCUUUCCUGAACUGGACGAAAUUUUAUCCAAAAAAAUUCAAGUUUGGCGGAAAUAUAAUGAUAGCCCACUAGAGGAAAUUGUGGAGAAGUGGAAAACGACACAUCUAUAUAGAAAUAUUUAUCUCAUGAAUUCAUUGGAAAGAGGGGAAACGAUAUCCGCAUUUAUAAUCGAAUGGCCUUUGUACAAACAUUGUGUUCUUGGACCACAGCUGAUCAAUUGUGAUUUUGAUAUACUCUAUCCGAACAAAGGAACAAAUUUGCAUACAAAGUGGGAAGAUUUCGUGCCAUUAAUAUACAGCUAUUAUAAGAAAAAUAAAAGGACAAAGUUUCCCGAGAAAUUUUAAUUCAAUUGGAAAAUCAAAACCUCGCUGCAGGUACUAGAAAUUAUAUUUGGGGUAUUCACAACGGUGUC
rnacentral:misc_RNA from 1 species